rnacentral:rRNA from 1 species
AGAGUUUGAUCCUGGCUCAGAGCGAACGCUGGCGGCAGGCCUAAUACAUGCAAGUCGAACGGAUCCUUCGGGAUCAGUGGCGGACGGGUGAGUAACACGUGGGAACGUGCCUUUUGGUUCGGAACAAGCCGGGGAAACCUGGUCUAAUGCCGAAUGUGCCCUUCGGGGGAAAGAUUUAUCGCCAUUAGAGCGGCCCGCGUCUGAUUAGCUAGUUGGUGGGGUAAAGGCCUACCAAGGCUACGAUCAGUAGCUGGUCUGAGAGGAUGAUCAGCCACACUGGGACUGAGACACGGCCCAGACUCCUACGGGAGGCAGCAGUAGGGAAUCUUGCGCAAUGGGCGAAAGCCUGACGCAGCCAUGCCGCGUGAAUGAUGAAGGUCUUAGGAUUGUAAA